rnacentral:rRNA from 1 species
CUUGGUCAUUUAGAGGAAGUAAAAGUCGUAACAAGGUCUCCGUUGGUGAACCAGCGGAGGGAUCAUUACCGAGUUUACAACUCCCAAACCCCUGUGAACAUACCUAUACGUUGCCUCGGCGGAUCAGCCCGCGCCCUGUAAAACGGGACGGCCCGCCCGAGGACCCUAAACUCUGUUUUUAGUGGAACUUCUGAGUAAAACAAACAAAUAAAUCAAAACUUUCAACAACGGAUCUCUUGGUUCUGGCAUCGAUGAAGAACGCAGCAAAAUGCGAUAAGUAAUGUGAAUUGCAGAAUUCAGUGAAUCAUCGAAUCUUUGAACGCACAUUGCGCCCGCCAGUAUUCUGGCGGGCAUGCCUGUUCGAGCGUCAUUUCAACCCUCAAGCUCAGCUUGGUGUUGGGACUCGCGGUAACCCGCGUUCCCCAAAUCGAUUGGCGGUCACGUCGAGCUUCCAUAGCGUAGUAAUCAUACACCUCGUUACUGGUAAUCGUCGCGGCCACGCCGUUAAACCCCAACUUCUGAAUGUUGACCUCGGAUCAGGUAGGAAUACCCGCUGAACUUAAGCAUAUCAAUAAGCGGAG